AUGCAAAAUGGUAUUAAGCUUCAGACAAAGCACCUGGAGGCCUUGAUUGAAUUACACAAUAUGACCGAGUCCUUUGCGAGGAACAUUCAACACUUAUUUUCUGGUUCUGACGUACAAGUUUUAAUGGAUGUGCUGAAAGUCGUGUACUUGGCAUAUGAAUCGCUUAAACAGAGGAAUAUAUUUAAGAGGAGCUGUAACCCGAGGGGUAGGAGCCCAAGGAGUUGA